GGAGACAAAGAUCAGCCACGUGGCAGUCAACCAUGUCUAUCUGACCAAGUUCCAAUGAAAACUCUGGACACCAAGGCUUGGGAGAUAUUUCUCAAAAGACUCCUCUGCGGGAGAGGAGAAUAGAGAAAGAAAGAAAACAACUGUGUAAGCAGACAUCAGUGUAAACCUUAGCACUGUCUCUUGAUGAGAUAAGAGGAGGAUGGCAGUGACAGGAGUGUGGUGGCGAGCCAGUCACCUGCAGUCAACCACGGCUCAUUGCUCUCACCAUGCCUGUUACAUGAAGGUAAACGUGUCCAUAUGAGUUCAUAUGUUGAAGCCCUAACCCCUAGUUCCUUAGAAUGUGACUGUAUUUAGGACAGGUCCUUUAAAGACGUAAUUAAGAUUAAAUGAGAUUGUAAGGGUGGGAUCCUAAUCCAGUAUGACUGGUGUCCUUUUAAAGAGGGAGGGACUCCAGGGCUAUGCACAGAGAGAAGGCCCUGUGUGGACACGGUGACAAGGCGGUUAUCUGCAAGCCAAGGUAGAAACAUGAGAGGAAUCCAAUGCUGCUGCCACCUUGAUCUUGAACUUCCAGUCUCCAGAUCUAUGACACAAU
rnacentral:lncRNA from 10 species